UACGAAGGGGGCGAGCGUUGUUCGGAUUUACUGGGCGUAAAGGGCGCGCAGGCGGCCAUUCAAGUCAGGCGUGAAAGCCCCGGGCUUAACGUGGGAAUGGCCAACGAGACGGCCCGACUGGAGGCAGGGAGAGGCCGGUGGAAUUCCGGGUGGUAGUGGUGAAAUGCGUAGAGAUCCGGAGGAACACCAGAGGCGAAGGCGGCCGGCUGGACCUGACCUGACGCUGAGGCACGGAAGGCGUGGGGAGCGGAACGGG
rnacentral:rRNA from 1 species